rnacentral:rRNA from 1 species
UGCGGCUAAACAAAUAAUGAUACUAGUGUUGUGUUGGUUUAUAUUUAAUUAAUAAAAAUUAGUUUAUAUUUUAGUGAAAUAUUGGGUGAAAUCCUAUUUUCUAUUUAAUUAAAUUUUUGAUUAUGAGAUUAAGAAAUCUAGCGUAUAGACUGGGAUUAGAUACCCCAUUAUUCUAGAUGUUGAUAAUUGGACCUGAUGAAUAUAAGUUAUGUUCUUUAAAAUCAAAAAAUUUGGCGGUUUUUUAUUCCGAUCAGGGGAAUCUGUCCUGUAAUCGAUAAUCCACGAUUAAUAAGACUUUUAUUUUGCUUGUAUAUCGUCGUUGUUAAUUAUUUUUAGAAAUAUAUAAUUUUAAUAUAUGAUUUUGUUAAAAAUCAGAUCAAGGUGCAGCUUAUAGAAGUAGAGAUGGAUUACAAUAAACUUAUUUUAGGAUGAAUCUUAGCAUUAGGGUUCAAAAUUUGGAUUUGAAUGUAAUUUCAAUUGCUAAUUAAUAUGAAUUAAGCUCUACAAUGUGA